rnacentral:lncRNA from 1 species
UUGGCUUUUAGCUGGCCAAAACCAGAAACAAUUAGCACAGAAUCAGAAUAAGAGAGCUUAAGAUUUUUUUAGUGAGAGUAUGAGAGUUCGAGUCUGUCUCCAAAAGGGAGAAGGAGAAGUGUUUAAAUAGUACUCAAUUAGGAAAACAAAUAAGGGAAUAAAUCAAGCAUACACAAAUAAGGAAUGAAAAUAAUUCUAGAAUUAAUUUGAAGUCGAGUUCAAUCAAUUAGCAGGAUAUAAAAGCGUGUAAUAAGGCAAGUACUACUUAGACGAAGGCAGGUAUUAUACAGAAUCAAUCAACAGUCAAAUUCCGGAACAACUAAGGUAAUGAAAUAAUAGGAAAAUGGUAAGUCGAGCAAAAAUAAGGAAACAUCAGUAUCAUACAAGAAAGGAAAGAUUAAAAUCUCAGUAAAAGAUUUCAAAACCGUAAUUUUUGGGUAAACCAUAAAAUCAGUGGAGUAAAAUAAGGUAGACAAGAGAAUAUUCAAAAGGCAAACCAUAAAAUUAGCACAAUAUCACAUCAUGAACCUAGACAGGAGUUUUAAAAGAUAACAUAAUCAAUUAAGAUCUUAAAAUACCAUAAUUUUAAGUUAACACAAAUUGAUAGAGCAAUAAAGGCAAAGGAUCGUUUGUUUUAAUAAAAGAACAUAGAUAGAGAGUUAUUAAAGAAAACAUAAGAUUUGAACCAAAUAUGGUUCGAUUAAAGAAGGUUAAAACCCUAGUUUAGGCAAGUAAAAGAUUUAAUGGAAAAUAAGCGGAUUUAUGAGUAACGAAAUAAAUAUAGACGAAAAAUAACAUUAAAACAAACUAAAGCUAAACCAAAUCUGGUUCUAAUCAAAGAUCUGAAAACCCUGACUUUGGGUUAUGUACGAAUCAGUGGAAGAUAUAAAAAUAUUCAUACUCACAUAAGAAAGCUGAUAAACAUAGAUGGGAAGGACCAAAGAUCUGAACCGGAUUUGGUUCACAAUAGGAGAGAUCUGCUUGCCAUGUUAGUCAAGCAAUUAUGUAACACCAUAAAUGAGUAGCCAGUAGCGAGAUAGGCUCGAUAAGGUAAGGAAAUCAUUGAUUGAUUCCAUAUUAGCUUGGAAUCGGAGGGGAUAAUAGGUGACAGUGCUAGGGUUUUGAGAGGAAGAAGAUGAAAGAGUGGGAGUGUAUAAAGACG